AGUGAACGCUGGCGGUAGGCCUAACACAUGCCAGUCGAACGGCAGCACAGUAAGAGCUUGCUCUUACGGGUGGCGAGUGGCGGACGGGUGAGGAAUACGUCGGAAUCUACUUUUUCGUGGGGGAUAACGUAGGGAAACUUACGCUAAUACCGCAUACGACCUACGGGUGAAAGCAGGGGAUCUUCGUACCUUGCGCGAUUGAAUGAGCCGAUGUCGGAUUAGCUAGUUGGCGGGGUAAAGGCCCACCAAGGCGACGAUCCGUAGCUGGUCUGAGAGGAUGAUCAGCCACACUGGAAAUGAGACACGGUCCAGACUCCUACGGGAGGCAGCAGUGGGGAAUAUUGGAAAAUGGGCGCAAGCAUGAUCCAGCCAUACCGCGUGGGUGAAGAAGGCCUUCGGGUUGUAAAGCCCUUUUGUUGGGAAAGAAAAGCAGCAGGUUAAGACCCCGCUGUUCUGACGGUACCCAAAGAAUAAGCACCGGCUAACUUCGU
rnacentral:rRNA from 1 species